rnacentral:rRNA from 1 species
UACGUAGGGAGCAAGCGUUGUCCGGAAUCAUUGGGCGUAAAGCGCGCGUAGGUGGCUUCGUAAGUCCGUUGUGAAAGUCAAAGGCUCAACCUUUGAAAGCCGAUGGAUACUAUGAAGCUAGAGUACGGAAGAGGCGAGUGGAAUUCCUGGUGUAGCGGUGGAAUGCGCAGAUAUCAGGAGGAACACCAAUAGCGAAGGCAGCUCGCUGGGACGUUACUGACACUGAGGCGCGAAAGCGUGGGGAGCGAACAGG